UACUGCUGUACUGAGGGCCUCCAGUAAGUACUGUACUGCUGUACUGAGGGCCUCCAGUAAGUACUGUACUGCUGUACUGAGGGCCUCCAGUAAGUACUGUACUGUACUGAGGGCCUCCAGUAAGUACUGUACUGAGGGCCUCCAGUAAGUACUGUACUGUACUGAGGGCCUCCAGUAAGAACGAAAAGUUCAAUCCACAAAACGUUUUACAAAGAAAACCAACUGUUUUUAACGGUUUUAAAUAUCCAGGAUACAACAUAGUCACUCUGAAAAGACAAAUGAUUGAGAAUCUACCAUCUGUUUUCAAGUGAUUUCCCGUAGCAGACAUGUUUACAGCGAGGAGAGACGACUGAAGCGCUAAGCAGAAGGCGAUAGAUCUAGCAGUCCCUGUAAGCUAAUCAGUAGUUAAGGUGACGAGUGUUUAUUAAAAAUCACUUUUCUACGGUUUUAAACAUGUUUGACCCCAGGUAAUGGUUUUGUACAGUUGCUUUGAAAAGGAUAUGGGGCUUAAUGAACUAUUCAGUUGUACACAGAUUGGACCAGUUUUACUGUCUACAACACUGUCAGGUAACGAGAAAGACACGGACACUGUUCAUCUAUCAUUACAACAUUUUGUAAGGUUUCCAAAAAGACCAGAAGGACAUCAACCAAAAAACUAAAACAUCCAUGUCAAAUAAAUCUAAUCAUGAUGGAACCAAACAUUUAUUUGUCUUCAUUGUGAGUGGUGAGACUGUCUGCUACUUUAGAACAAGCUACAAACCUGCACUAAAAGCCACAGGUGGUUUCAUUAAAGAGACUGGGGCAGCAUUAAGCAGAUGAUGAAAUAACUGGGCUUGAACCACCAGCAUUGGUGAUGAGGAAGUCACUUGUUGGUCAAACCCAGCAGCACAGCGUACAGUACUACUGCCAUGUGUUGGAGAUAGAGAGUCCUCUGACCUCUCCUCUUCUGCCUCCACUAGCCCUGGCUUCUACCUCAACCCAGCAGCACAGUGUACAGUACUACUGCCAUGUGUUGGAGAUAGAGAGUCCCCUGACCUCUCCUCUUCUGCCUCCACUAGCCCUGGCUUCUACCUCAACCCAGCAGCACAGUGUACAGUACUACUGCCAUGUGUUGGAGAUAGAGUCCCCUGACCUCUCCUCUUCUGCCUCCACUAGCCCUGGCUUCUACCUCAACCCAGCAGCACAGCAUACAGUACUACUGCCAUGUGUUGGAGAUAGAGAGUCCCCUGACCUCUCCUCUUCUGCCUCCACUAGCCCUGGCUUCUACCUCAACUCCACUUUCACUUUACCCACCUUAAAUGGCAUAGGGCCCAGUCACAACUACUACUGUAAAGACUACGUCCAAAAUGGUACCCUAUUCUCUAUUUAG
rnacentral:lncRNA from 13 species